rnacentral:rRNA from 1 species
GAUGAACGCUGGCGGCGCGCCUAACACAUGCAAGUCGAACGGCACCCACCCUCGGGUGGAAGCGAGUGGCGAACGGCUGAGUAACACGUGGAGAACCCGCCCCCUCCUCCGGGAUAGCCUCGGGAAACCGUGGGUAAUACCGGAUGACCCCGCAGGGCCGCAUGGCCCCGCGGGCAAAGCCCAGACGGGAGGGGAUGGCUCCGCGGCCCAUCAGGUAGACGGCGGGGUGACGGCCCACCGUGCCGACGACGGGUAGCCGGGUUGAGAGACCGACCGGCCAGAUUGGGACUGAGACACGGCCCAGACUCCUACGGGAGGCAGCAGUGGGGAAUCUUGCGCAAUGGGGGGAACCCUGACGCAGCGACGCCGCGUGCGGGACGAAGGCCCUCGGGUCGUAAACCGCUUUCAGCAGGGAUGAGACAAGACGGUACCUGCAGAAGAAG